GCUAAUUACACUUUUGCGACUAGGACAAGAUCUCCAUCAAUAAAUAUCUAUCUCCACAAUUUGAAACAUAUGUGAGUUAAAGUUGUAACUAAAACAUUUAAAAAUAUGGCCGAUAAUUCAAAAAACGAUUGUGAGAAAGGAUUGCCAUCAAAGCUUCCUGAAGAAAAUAAUUCCGAGAUCCUGCAAGGUUCUGGAAGGGAUUUCAGAGCUAUUUUGGUGAAUUUGAUUUUGUUCAUGGCCGUGAUUGGGGUCAUUUUUCUUGCCCUUAAAUUUCCAGGAGCGGAUGGUCCACCGGAGGACAUGUCUGAGGGAAUAAGAAAUGUUCACCCUGAUACAAUUUUGAGCUACUUUGAAGCUGGAAGUAGAUGGAAAAUUGAUUGAAAGAUUAUAUGCUUAAGCAUCUACAUACAUUCAUAAAUAUCUACACACAUGUAAAUAUGUAUGUAUGUCUGCGUACGUAAAUGUUUCAUGUGUAAUGUCAUUUCACUCAAGAGUUGAGUAAUAAUAAUAAAUAAGUAAUUGUUUAAUUUGAUGAUGGACACGUGUAUGAUAUAACAUUAAACACACAAUAUGUACUAAAUACGAAAAUUUUUCAUUGAGAGAAAUAAAUUCAAGUACAUUAAGCAGAAAAA